rnacentral:rRNA from 1 species
UACGGAGGGGGCUAGCGUUGUUCGGAAUUACUGGGCGUAAAGCGUACGUAGGCGGUUUUGUAAGUUAGAGGUGAAAGCCCGGAGCUCAACUUCGGAAUUGCCUUUAAGACUGCAUCACUUGAACGUCGGAGAGGUGAGUGGAAUUCCGAGUGUAGAGGUGAAAUUCGUAGAUAUUCGGAAGAACACCAGUGGCGAAGGCGGCUCACUGGACGACUGUUGACGCUGAGGUACGAAAGCGUGGGGAGCAAACAGG